UACAGAAUGAMAGUGCUUAACUGCAUUUUUUUACACAUGUGUUUUUCUUUUUUUGAAAACUUUGCUUUGGUGGGCCCACGGSCUGCCAGAGAUUAAACUCAACCAAAUUUUAUUUAAAGUCAACUGAUUAACUAAUAGUCAAAACUUUCAACAACGGAUCUCUUGGUUCUCGCAUCGAUGAARAACGCAGCGAAAUGCGAUAAGUAAUAUGAAUUGCAGAUAUUCGUGAAUCAUCGAAUCUUUGAACGCACAUUGSGCCCUUUGGUAUUCCAAAGGGCAUGCCUGUUUGAGCGUCAUUUCUCCCUCAAACCUUCGGGUUUGGUGUUGAGCGAUACGCUGGGUUUGCUUGAAAGAAAGGCGGARUAUAAACUAAUGGAUAGGUUUUUUUCCACUCAUUGGUACAAACUCCAAAAUUCUUCCAAAUUCGACCUCAAAUCAGGKAGGACUACUCCGYUSA
rnacentral:rRNA from 1 species